GAUGAAUGCUGGCGGCGUGCCUAACACAUGCAAGUCGAGCGGCAGCGCAGUCUUCGGACUGGCGGCGAGCGGCGGACGGCUGAGUAACGCGUGGGAACGUACCCCAAAGUGAGGAAUAACUGCCCGAAAGGGUAGCUAAUGCCGCAUAUGGUCUUCGGAUUAAAGGAUUUAUCCGCUUUGGGAACGGCCUGCGUACGAUUAGAUUGUUGGUGAGGUAAUGGCUCACCAAGUCGACGAUCGUUAACUGGUCUGAGAGGAUGAUCAGUCAGACUGGAACUGAGACACGGUCCAGACUCCUACGGGAGGCAGCAGUGAGGAAUCUUCCACAAUGGGCGAAAGCCUGAUGGAGCAACGCCGCGUGCAGGAUGAAGGCCUUCGGGUCGUAAACUGCUUUUAUAAGUGAAGAAUAUGACGGUAACUUAUGAAUAAGCACCGGCUAACUACGUGCCAGCAGCCGCCGCU
rnacentral:rRNA from 1 species